rnacentral:rRNA from 1 species
UACGUAGGGGGCAAGCGUUGUCCGGAUUCAUUGGGCGUAAAGGGCGCGUAGGUGGCGCCGUAAGUCGGGUGUGAAAUUUCGGAGCUUAACUCCGAAACUGCAUUCGAUACUGCGGUGCUUGAGGACUGGAGAGGAGACUGGAAUUCAUGGUGUAGCAGUGAAAUGCGUAGAGAUCAUGAGGAAGACCAGUGGCGAAGGCGGGUCUCUGGACAGUUCCUGACACUGAGGCGCGAAAGCGUGGGGAGCAAACAGG